AGGAUUAACGCUGGCGGCGUGCCUAACACAUGCAAGUCGAACGAGGUAGCAAUACCUAGUGGCAGACGGGUGAGUAACGCGUGGUCAACCUACCGUUGAGUGGGGGAUAACUAGCCGAAAGGUUAGCUAAUACCGCAUACGAGUCUCGGGGGCAUCCCUGGGCCUUAAAAGGAGCAAUCCGCUCGAUGACGGGACCGCGUCCCAUUAGCUAGAUGGUGGGGUAACGGCCUACCAUGGCACCGAUGGGUAGCUGGUUUGAGAGAGCGACCAGCCACACUGGGACUGAGAAACGGCCCAGACUCCUACGGGAGGCAGCAGUGAGGAAUUUUCCGCAAUGGGCGAAAGCCUGACGGAGCGACGCCGCGUGUGGGAAGAAGGCCUUCGGGUCGUAAACCACUGUCGAAGGGGACGAUAAUGACGGUACCUUGGAGGAAGCCCGGCUAACUACGCGCCAGCAGCCGC
rnacentral:rRNA from 1 species